UAGGUGGCUAAUUAAGUCAAAUGUGAAAUCCCCGAGCUUAACUUGGGAAUUGCAUUCGAUACUGGUUAGCUAGAGUAUGGGAGAGGAUGGUAGAAUUCCAGGUGUAGCGGUGAAAUGCGUAGAGAUCUGGAGGAAUACCGAUGGCGAAGGCAGCCAUCUGGCCUAAUACUGACACUGAGGUGCGAAAGCAUGGGGAGCAAACAGGAUUAGAUACCCUGGGUAGUCCAUGCCGUAAACGAUGUCUACUAGCCGUUGGGGCCCUUGAGGCUUUAGUGGCGCAGCUAACGCGAUAAGUAGACCGCCUGGGGAGUACGGUCGCAAGACUAAAACUCAAAUGAAUUGACGGGGGCCCGCACAAGCGGUGGAGCAUGUGGUUUAAUUCGAUGCAACGCGAAGAACCUUACCUGGCCUUGACAUACAGAGAACUUUCCAGAGAUGGAUUGGUGCCUUCGGGAACUCUGAUACAGGUGCUGCAUGGCUGUCGUCAGCUCGUGUCGUGAGAUGUUGGGUUAAGUCCCGCAACGAGCGCAACCCUUUUCCUUAUUUGCCAGCACUUCGGGUGGGAACUUUAAGGAUACUGCCAGUGACAAACUGGAGGAAGGCGGGGACGACGUCAAGUCAUCAUGGCCCUUACGGCCAGGGCUACACACGUGCUACAAUGGUCGGUACAAAGGGUUGCUACUGCGCGAGCAGAUGCUAAUCUCAAAAAGCCGAUCGUAGUCCGGAUCGCAGUCUGCAACUCGACUGCGUGAAGUCGGA
rnacentral:rRNA from 1 species